AGAGUUUGAUCCUGGCUCAGGAUGAACGCUAGCGGCAGGCUUAAUACAUGCAAGUCGAGGGGCAGCAUGACUGUAGCAAUACAGUUGAUGGCGACCGGCAAACGGGUGCGGAACACGUACACAACCUUCCUUCGAGCGGGGAAUAGCCCAGAGAAAUUUGGAUUAAUACCCCAUAGUAUAUCGAUUAAGCAUCUUUUUGAUAAUAAAGAUUUAUUACUUGAAGAUGGGUGUGCGGCUGAUUAGGUAGUUGGCGGGGUAACGGCCCACCAAGCCCACGAUCAGUAACUGGUGUGAGAGCACGACCAGUCACACGGGCACUGAGACACGGGCCCGACUCCUACGGGAGGCAGCAGUAAGGAAUAUUGGUCAAUGGACGAAAGUCUGAACCAGCCAUGCCGCGUGGAGGAUGAAGGUCCUCUGGAUUGUAAACUUCUUUUAUAUGGGACGAAAAAAGGCUUUUCUAAGUCGUCUGACGGUACCAUAUGAAUAAGCACCGGCUAACUCCGUGCCAGCAGCCGCGGUAAUACGGAGGGUGCAAGCGUUAUCCGGAUUCACUGGGUUUAAAGGGUGCGUAGGUGGGUUGGUAAGUCAGUGGUGAAAUCUCCGAGCUUAACUUGGAAACUGCCAUUGAUACUAUCAGUCUUGAAUACCGUGGAGGUUAGCGGAAUAUGUCAUGUAGCGGUGAAAUGCUUAGAUAUGA
rnacentral:rRNA from 1 species